ensembl:lncRNA
GGGAAAACUCAUAUUUACACAUUUCCCCUUGUUUUUUCGUUAUUUUAACAAUAUAUGUUCUUAAUGACGUCCUGACUGAUUCGCUGGCCCUUAUUUUUCCCUUUUUUCUACUGAUGAUAGAUGUAUUAAAAAUACAGAUUACUAUGGAGGUAAAAAAGGUACUUUUUAAAAAUAUUUCUUAAUUGAGCUUUGUGUUACUCCACGUGUUAACUUAAACUUGUACUAACCUUAACUUGAAGAAUAAGACGAAAUGAUCUUGACCUAAAGUACAGUGUUAGGUUAGAUUACCCAGCCCUCAGCUCUAUAGUUGACCCAUAAUGUAAAAACCUUUUAAAAAAUUUAAAAGAAUAUGUUUGGAGAAACAAGGCCUUUCUUUCUAGUCUGCACAAAUAUGGAGGUACAUAACUGCCAAAAUUAAAAAGAAAUUAAUAAAUAAUUUAUUUAAUAGAUAAACGAAUUUGUAACUAAUUAAUGUUGUAAUAAAAUUUUAAUAAAACUACAUCACGUUGCUCAGGUAUUUAUUCACAUCAAUUUAUUAAUAAUGAACAAAAAAGUAAUCCUGACCUUAAAUCAUACUUUAAGUUAGAUCCACUGUUGACCUAUUUGCAUAAAAAGACUAGAUAACAUAAAAAGUAUAAAAAGAAAAAAAAAUUAAAAUAAAGAAAAACAUGGAAAAAAAAUGCAAGAAAAAAUCAUACAAAAUGCCAAAAGUUAAAUGUGAAUAAUUUUUAUACCCCACCUUGAAACUUUGGAGAUACUAGCAACUACCACAUAAAUAAUAAUUUUAAAGUAAUUAGUUGACUGGUUGAGGAGGCGUUCGAAUGAGACAAAAAGGCAGCGGCCUGGGUUUCAGUCUGAUCUGCAGCUCUUUCCUUCUCUUUGUCCCCCUCUUUCCUGUCUACUCUUCACAGCUAAAGUAUCAAAGACAAAAGUAAAUAUAAAUAAAAGAGAAUUAAGUAAUAAUAUUUAAAAUGACAAAAGUGAUCUAAUUUUAUUUUAUACAUUUUCUUUUAGCUCCCUUUUAUUCAUUUUUGCUUGGAUUGGUUCUUGCAUUAUUG